rnacentral:rRNA from 1 species
GACAGAGGGUGCAAACGUUGUUCGGAAUUACUGGGCGUAAAGCGCGUGUAGGCUGUUCUGCAAGUCGGGUGUGAAAGCCCCGGGCUCAACCUGGGAAGUGCACUCGAAACUGCAGAACUCGAGUCCUGGAGAGGAAGGCGGAAUUCUCGGUGUAGAGGUGAAAUUCGUAGAUAUCGAGAGGAACACCGGUGGCGAAGGCGGCCUUCUGGACAGUGACUGACGCUGAGACGCGAAAGCGUGGGGAAGCAACCGGG